CCUACGGGAGGCAGCAGUAGGGAAUAUUGCUCAAUGGGGGAAACCCUGAAGCAGCAACGCCGCGUGGAGGAUGAAGGUUUUCGGUUUGUAAACUCCUUUUGUUAGAGAAGAAAAUGACGGUAUCUAACGAAUAAGCACCGGCUAACUCCGUGCCAGCAGCCGCGGUAAUACGGAGGGUGCAAGCGUUACUCGGAAUCACUGGGCGUAAAGAGCGCGUAGGCGGGAUUGCAAGUCAGAUGUGAAAGCCUAGGGCUUAACCAGAGAACUGCAUUUGAAACUGGUAUGCUAGAGUAUGGGAGAGGUAGGUGGAAUUCUUGGUGUAGGGGUGAAAUGCGUAGAGAUCAAGAGGAAUACUCAUUGCGAAGGCGACCUGCUAGAACAUAACUGACGCUGAUGCGCGAAAGCGUGGGGAGCAAACAGGAUUAGAUACCCCAGUAGUC
rnacentral:rRNA from 1 species